rnacentral:rRNA from 1 species
GUGGGGAAUAUUGCACAAUGGGCGCAAGCCCGAUGCAGCAACGCCGCGUGAGGGACGACGGCCUUCGGGUUGUAAACCUCUUUUAGCAGGGAAGAAGCGAAAGUGACGGUACCUGCAGAAAAAGCACCGGCUAACUACGUGCCAGCAGCCGCGGUAAUACGUAGGGUGCAAGCGUUGUCCGGAAUUAUUGGGCGUAAGAGCUCGUAGGCGGUUUGUCGCGUCUGCUGUGAAAACCCGAGGCUCAACCUCGGGCCUGCAGUGGGUACGGGCAGACUAGAGUGCGGUAGGGGAGAUUGGAAUUCCUGGUGUAGCGGUGGAAUGCGCAGAUAUCAGGAGGAACACCGAUGGCGAAGGCAGAUCUCUGGGCCGUAACUGACGCUGAGGAGCGAAAGCGUGGGGAGCGAACAGGAUUAGAAACCCCGGUAGUCC